rnacentral:misc_RNA from 1 species
AAAAAAAAAUCUGAAAAUGGAAUUACUCUCUCCCACUGUCCUCAUCUGAACCACCUGCUUCUUUAACAUCAACACUGAAGCUAUAUUCCUGGUCACAGCCCAGAUAAGAAUCACACAUAAAAUACAGAGUAUAAGACUUCCUUCCAGCUUCUGAGGGGGCAGCAAACUCAAGCUUCACCUUUGACUUCCUCUGGAGAGAAACCCUCUUGAUGGCAAGCAACUGGUUGCUCUUGGUAUCACCAACAACGAGCCACCAGCCUUCUUCUUUGGCUUUAGGAUACCUGGGAGCAUCAACUGCUCCCACGUCUGUCCUCCCCUCCAGAUCCCGUUCUAGAGUGACCUGCAAAGUGAUAUCGUCUCCCACCUUCAUAUGCUCACUAUCCAUCACCUCAUAGGACAUGUCAAUGUUGGGGAAGCGGUUGCAAAACCUCACAAUAUCUAGCAGUUGUAAAUCUGACAUCUGGAGAAGCUCCCGCCUUUCAUCAUCUUCCAUCUCUACCAAAUCAAAUACUGUCUCUAUACUCUUUCCAGGAUU